UUUGCCUUUAAGAGGUGGGGCUGUUGGGUCAUGAGGGCAGAACCCUCGUGAAUGGGAAUAAUCCCGCCAUAAAAGAGGCCUGAGGGAGUUUGCUUGCCCCUUUCCUCCUUCCACCAUGUGAGAAUGCAGCAAGAAGGUGCCCUGUAUGAAGCAGAGGGCCCUCACCAGGCACCGAAUCCGGUGGCACCUUGAUGUUGAACUUCUCGGCCUUCAGAACUGUGACACAGAGAAUGAGUGGAAUACUAAUACAUUGAAGGGCAAAAUCAAAACCCCAGAAGAUCUCUAAAAGUCUGAAUGAAUCAGCCCAUAUUACAAGAUAAAGUCCAUAAUGGUAAACGGAAGGCUCUGGUCUUGGUUUACAAAAUCCAACCACUCAAAUAUGUAGUUGCUGGAAGUUUUGUGGCCAUGGGGAUGCUGACAAAGAUUGCUUGGGAUGCACACAAGGCAGCGGCGAAGCCUGAGGGGUGCUGCCAGGCCGGGCUCUCCACUGGCCACGAAUUUGUACAUAUGGCUUUGGAAACCUCAUCCAACACUAAGUAAUGAACAUACAUGAGGAUACUAUGUAUUUUUCAACCUGCAAGCCCAAGAUUUCAAAUUCUUUGGUUUAUCGCAGAGAACACAUCUCUCAAAUUGUCUUCAAGGAGCACUGCAGGAGAAAGUCCUGGCAACUUGGCGCAGCGAAUUUGAUCAGCACCAUACGUACGACCUGUCUCAGGAACGGUGCCAUGUGUGUGACUAGGACUGCAAAGCAGCUUGUGUUCGUGGGGGAAAUGACAGGCACAGGAAGGAAAAGCUGAGAACACUGAAACGGUUCCUAAUCGUGCAGUGGGGAAAGGAGGGCGACUGCCGCGCAGAGUGGCACGUUGGCUGGAAGAGGGGAUUGAUCAGCAGUGCUGGCAGGAACAGCAUAGGCUUGUCGUGUGAUCUAACAGAAGAGGCAGCAAUCUGGAGGCGCCCCAGAUCAGAGAAGAGACAUCAAGCCCCAGGAGAAAUGGAUUUCCUUUCUCCCCACCCAUCAGCUGGGUAGGAAGCCCGAAGGAGCCUUUCAUGGAACUAUGGGAAGGGCUCCUCUGACGCAGAGGGGAUGAACUGGAAGCAAGAUGCUGACUGUUUCCAAAGGCUUGACAGUCAGAAGCAGGCAGGCUUCAGCCUAUUGAGAUACUUUACCCAAGAGGAUUUCCGCUUAGGUUCUGUCUUGAAAGAAAUAUUCGCUCCCAAAUUUCCUCCCAUCAAGAGUGCUUCUCCCUACAGAAGGCUAAGGCUCACAGGUUGUCCCCAGGGACACAUUUCUUUCAAGUAGGAUGACUGGUAUGUUUAGACUGAAAAGCUGAUUUACUGGAAGAUUGCUAUCACCCCCUGGCCUACCAUGUCGUUGGUGUGGCCAGUGUUUAUCAGACAGUGGUGUUUCCAGCUUAGGCCUGAAUGGAAGAAGAAACUGAAAGAAGAAAUAAAAAGAGAGAUGCGCCGGGCAUGGUGGCUCAUGCCUGUAAUCCCAGUGCUUUGGGAGGCCGAGGUGGCAGACCACUUGAGGUCAGGAGUUCAAGACCAGCCUGGCCAACAUGGUGAAACCCCGUCCCUACUAAAAAUACAAAAAAUUAGCUGGGUGUGGUGGCGUGUGCCUGUGGUCCCAGCUACUCCGGAGGCUGAGGCAGGAGAAUUGCUUGAACCCGGGAGGCGGAGGUUGCAGUGAGCCAAGAUUGUACCACUGCACUCCAGCCUGGGCAACAGAGUGAUACUCUCUCAAACAAGACAAAACAAACAAAAAAGAGGAGGCUCGGCACGGUGGCUCACGCCUGUAAUCCCACCACUUUGGUAGGCUGAGGCUGGCAUAUCACUUGAGGUUGGGAGUUCGAGACCAGCCUGACCAAUAUGGAGAAACCCCAUCUCUACUAAAAAUGCAAAAUCAGCCAGGUGUGGUGGCGCAUGCCUGUAAUCCCAGCUACUCAGAAGGUUGAGGCAGGAGAAUCGCUUGAACCCGGGAGGCAGAGGUUGCGGUGAGCCAAGAUCACGCCAUUUUACUCCAGCCUAGGCAACAAGAGCAAAACUCCAUCUCAAAAAAAAAAAAAAAAAAAUGGAGAGAGAGAUGUUUCUCAGCUUUGGGAAAUGCUGACUUUUCCAGCACACCUUUGCUCAGAAAAGCCCUAUGAUAUAAAGUGUCAUAGGAACCUUGUCCUUGGAACCAAGCCUAGCCUAGGCUCAGGGACAUCAUGUGGGAGUGACAUAAAGGAGGCUCCUCUGUCACUGUGCUUGGGUUACAAGUAAUUCUCGACAUGGGAGCAUGUUGAUUUCUAACCAUCGGUGGCGGAGCUGUGACUUCCCAAGCUGGUGGCUGACCUCAAGAGGACUAUUAUAGACACUGUGGGACCACGGCCUGAGAAAAGAAUGGCUACCUCCCUCUCUAUCCCAUGACCUCUAACGGCCCGGUCACCACCAUGGCCUUUUGUUCCUGGAGAGGGACAGGAACUUUGGAAAGUGGGGUCGCUCUAUUGCUUCUGCAGGUCAUCUUCCCAGACUUGCCUAAGCCUCAGAAUCUCAGUCUUCUGCUCUGUUUUGCACGUCUUUUUUGAAAGGUUUUUAAAAAUUACAAUCUACUGUACAGAAGAAAAUAAUACACAGAAAAUAAUUUUAGAAAAUAAUACAACAGAUAUCUAAGUAUCCACCACCCAGAUUGGACAACAUAUUAACAUUUUGCCCCAUCUAUAUCAGAUAUUAUUUAUUUUCUUUUUUACUUAUUUUUGAGACAGAAUCUCGCUCUGUCGCCCAGGCUGGAGCGCAGUGGUGUGAUCUCAGCUCACUGCAACCUCUGCCUCCCAGGUUCAAGCGAUUCUCCUGCCUCAGCCUCCCGAGUAGCUGGGACUAGUGGUGUGCACCACCAUGCCCAGCUAACUUUUGUAUUUUUAGUAGAGACAGGGUUUCACCAUGUUGGCCAGGAUGGUCUCGAUCUCUUGAUCUCGUGAUCCGCCCGCCUCAGCCUUCUACAGUGCUGGGAUUACAGGCAUGAGCCACCUCGCCCAGCCUAUUUUUAUUUUUUUUAAGACAUGGUCUUGCUCUGUCACCCAGGCUGGAGUGCAGUGGCACGAUCUUGGUUCACUGUGGCCUUGACCUUCCAGGUGCAAGCAAUCCUCCCAUCUCAGCCUCCUGUGUAGCUGGGACUACAGGAGCAUACUGCCACACUUGGCUGAUUAAAACAUUUUUUCUUUCUGCAGAGACAGGGUCUUACCAUGUUGCCUAGGCUGGUCUUGAACUCCUGGGCUCAAGUGAUUCCCCUGCCUCCGGCUCCCAAAGUAAUGGGAUUACAGGCAUGAGCCAGCAUGCCCAGCCUAUAUCAGAUUUUUUUAAAAUUGCAGAUAGAAUUAAAAACUUGCUUAUCUAUUUUUAGUAGAGGGAAAAACCUAAAUAAGUUUAAUUCUAGUAAGUUGCUGACUCUACACAACAACUUCCUUUCAGUCUUCAGAUAAUGGAAACUUUGUGGAUUUAUGCACAGCACCCAAACCCCAGAGAUCUGCCCCAACAGAAAGAUUGCCAACAAAAUGUUUGUCUUAAUACUUGAACAAAUUUUUCUCAAACUUACAUUGUAUAUUUUUCUCCACCAGUUUGCUAAAUGUCCACAAGGUUAAUACCCGCCCAGCCAAAUGAAAAGACCACUGGGAUCAGGUGCGGUGGCUCACACCUGUUAUCUGUUCCAGCUACUUGGGGAGGCUGAGGUGGGAGGAUCGCUGUAGCCUGGGAAAUCGAGGCCGCAGUGAGCUAUGAUCAAGCCACUGCACUCCAGCCUGGCCAACAGCGCAAGAGCCUGCUCUAAAAAAUCAAAAUAAAAAAAAAAAGAGCAUUGGGUCUCCAAAGGUAACAGGUGUGAAAUACACCUUAGCCUACUCAGAAUUUUGCCCCAUGAAAUAAGUAAGGAUUAUUAAAUAUUUCUGGAAACUCAAACAACUCUUUAAACAAUGUUCACAAUUUUUCAAUGUCCACAUCAGCCAAACCCACGGAAAGCUAAGCAUUAAUUCACCUACUGUUGGAGAGGCUAGACUAUUUAAGGAAUCUCUCCUGAAUUCUAGUCCUGAAUUUCCAAUGCAACUCGUGUCCACUAGAAUGUUCUGUGAAUGUUUCAAGCUUGAAACGCCUGCAGCCAAACUUGUUUUCUUUCCAUCCAAUUAUAUCCUCUUUCCAAUGUUCCCCUUUUUUCAUUAAAGGCACCACUAUUCUUCCAGCCAUCCUGAUUCACAGCCUCAGAGCUGGCCUCA
rnacentral:lncRNA from 10 species